GCGGGAGUAACUCAGUUGGUAGAGUAUAACCUUGCCAUGGUUAAAGUCGCGAGUUCGAAUCUCGUCUCCCGCU
rnacentral:tRNA from 1 species